CGGGUGCGUAACGCGUAUACAAUCUACCUUGUACUGGGGUAUAGCCUUUAGAAAUGAAGAUUAAUCCCCCAUAGUCUCUUAGAGUGGCAUCGCUUCUAGAGUAAAGGUUACGGUAUAAGAUGAGUAUGCGUUCUAUUAGUUUGUUGGUGUGGUAACGGCACACCAAGACUACGAUAGAUAGGGGCCCUGAGAGGGGGAUCCCCCACACUGGUACUGAGACACGGACCAGACUCCUACGGGAGGCAGCAGUGAGGAAUAUUGGACAAUGGAGGCAACUCUGAUCCAGCCAUGCCGCGUGCAGGAAGACUGCCCUAUGGGUUGUAAACUGCUUUUAUACAGGAAGAAACACCU
rnacentral:rRNA from 1 species